ACUCCUACGGGAGGCAGCAGUGGGGAAUAUUGCACAAUGGGCGCAAGCCUGAUGCAGCCAUGCCGCGUGUGUGAAGAAGGCCUUCGGGUUGUAAAGCACUUUCAGUCGUGAGGAAGGCGGAGUCGUUAAUAGCGGCCUCGUUUGACGUUAGCUGCAGAAGAAGCACCGGCUAACUCCGUGCCAGCAGCCGCGGUAAUACGGAGGGUGCGAGCGUUAAUCGGAAUUACUGGGCGUAAAGCGCAUGCAGGUGGUUUGUUAAGUCAGAUGUGAAAGCCCGGGGCUCAACCUCGGAAUAGCAUUUGAAACUGGCAGACUAGAGUACUGUAGAGGGGGGUAGAAUUUCAGGUGUAGCGGUGAAAUGCGUAGAGAUCUGAAGGAAUACCGGUGGCGAAGGCGGCCCCCUGGACAGAUACUGACACUCAGAUGCGAAAAGCGUGGGGAGCAAACAGGAUUAGAUA
rnacentral:rRNA from 1 species